UGGGUCUUGCUCUUUCAUCGAGGCUAGAGUGCAGUGGUGCUAUCUCAGUUCACUGCAGCCUUGACCUCCCAGGCUCAAGUGAUCCUCCUACCUCAUCGUCCUGGGUAGCUGAGACCAGAGAUGCAUACUGCAUGCCAGCUAAUUUUUUAAAUUUUUUCUGUAGAGAUGGGGUCUUGCUAUGUUGCUCAGGAUUGUCUGGAACUGCUGGCCUCAAACAAUCCUUCUGCCUCAGGCUCCAAAAGUGUUAUGAUUACAGGCAUUAGCCAUUGUGCCCGGGCUUCCCCACUUUUGAAAAAUCGAUUCCCUUUCCUUUGACCUUCUCUCUUAUAAUGAUUAAACUCUGUCCUUUAAACAUCUCCAAAUUUAAAAAUUGUAUCAACUGGAAUAAUAGAAUAUAAAAUCAAAGAACAGUCAGCUUUGAUAUUUACCUACAUGUAUAGAUCUUUUAGUUCGUGAAGCAACUAGAACCAUUGUUAUUAACGCCCUAGAAGAUAACACACAAGUUUAAUUUACCAAGACAAGCCUUUGCCCUAAAAUGUUCCCUUAGAGUUGGGUACAUGUGACAUUUCUUUUAUUCACAUAUAGAAACAUCAAAUAUGACAGGAAGAUGGGGUUGGCAGCUUUAUGUCACAAAGAGUGGGAACAGCUUACAAGGUACUUGUUGUCAGAGGGCAGGAAGUUAAAUCCUGGCUUCCACAUUCCCUGUGUACCUUUUCCUGGGUAUUCAUUUUUUGUUUUAUUAUAAAAAUGAGAUUAACUUGAUAUUUGAAAAAAGAAAAUAUCAAAUACCAUGUGCUCAAAUAUGCUAAUUACUUUUCACAUUACUAUUUCUUACUAGCCCGGGGACAUAUACAUACUUUUAAGAACCAGCAAGCAUUUUUCUACUGAAUCACAGAACCAAAUACAGGCGUACCUUGGAGAUAUUACAGAUUUUGUUAUAGAUCACCACAAUAAAAUUAAUACAGCAAUAAAGCAAGUCAUAUAAAUUUUUUGUUUUCCCAGUCCUUAUAAAAGUUAUGUUUACACUAUACUGUACUUUAUUAAAUGUGUAAUAGCAUUAUGUCUAACAAAGUAUAUACCUUAAUUUAAAAAUACUCUGUUGCUAAAAAAAUGCUAACAAUCAUCUGAGCGUUCGGCCAGUUGUAAUCCUUUAGCUACUAGGGGGUCUUGCCUCUAUGUUGAUGGCUGCUGACUAAUCAGGGUGAUGGAUGCUGAAGCCUGGGGUAGCUGUAACAAUUUUCUUAAGAAAACCAUAAAGUCUGCCCUAUUAAUUAACUCUUCGUUUCAUGAAAGAUUUUUUUGCAGCACAUGAUGCUGUUUGAUAGCAUUUUACCCACAGUAGAACUUUUGAAAUUGAAGUCCAUCCUCUCAAACCCUGUCACUGCUUUAUCAGCAAAGUUUAUUAAAUAUUCUAAGUCCUUUGUUGUCACUUCAGCAGUGUUCACAGCAACUUCACUAGAAGAUUCUAUCUCAAGAAACCACUUUCUUUGUUUAUCCAUAAAAAGCAACUCCUCGUCUGUUAAGUUUUAUCAUGAGAUUGUAGCAAUUCAGUUCCAUCUUCAAGUUUCACUUCUAAUUCUAGUUCUCUUGCUAUUUCUACCACACCUGUAGUUACUCUCUCCACUUAUGUCUUGAACUCCUCAAAGUCAUCCAUGAGCACUGGAAUCAAGUUCUUCCAAAUUCCUGUUCAUGUUGAUAUUUUGAUCUGUUCUCAUGCAUCACAAAUGUUCUUAAUGGCAUCUAGAAUGGUGACUCCCUUCCAGGUUUUCAAUUUACUUUUCCCAGAGCCAUCAGCAGAAUCAUUAUUUAUGAUAGCUAGAGCCUUACAAAAUGUACUUCUUAAAUAAUAAGACUUGAAAGUAAAAAUUCCUCUUUGAUUCAUGGCCUGCAAAAUAAAUGUUGUGUUAGCAGGCAUGAAAAUAACAUUAAUCUCUUUAUACAUCUCCUUCAGAGCUCUUAGAUGACCAUGUGCAUUUUCAAUGAGCAGUAAUAUUUUGAAAAAAAAAAUUUUAUCUGAGAAGUAGGUCUCAACAAUGGGUUUAAAAUAUUUAGUAAAUCAUGCUAUAAACCAAGCUUGUUCAACCUGCAGCCCACAGGCUGCAUGCAGCCCAGGACAGCUUUGAAUAUGGCCAACACAAAUUCAUAAACUUUCUUAAAACAUUAUGAGAUUUUUUUGCAAUUUUUUUUUUUUAGCCUAUCAGCUGUUGGUAGUGUUCGUGUAUGUUACGUGUGGCCCAAGACCAUUCUUCUUUAUCCAGUGUGGCCUAGGGAAACCAAAAGAUUGGACACUUCUGCUAUGAAGAGAUGUGCUGUCAUCCAGACUCUGUUGUUCCCUUUACAGAGCACAAGUAGAACAGAUUUAGCAUCAUUCUUAAGGGCCCUAGGAUUUUUGGAAUGGGCAACGAGCAUUGGCUUCAACUUAAAGUCAUCAGCUACAUUCGCUCCUAACAAGAGAGUAAGCCUGUCCUUUGAUGCUUUGAAGCCAGCAUUGACUUCUCUCUAGCUAUCAAAGUCCUACAUGGCAUCUUCUUCCAAAACAAGGCUGUUUCAUCUAUCUUGAAAAUCAGUUGUUUAGUGAAGCCACCUUCAUCAAUUAUUUUAGCUAAAUCUUCUGAGUAAAUUGCUGUAACUUCUAUGUCAAUACUUGCUGCUUUACCUUACACUUUUAUGUUACGAAAACAGCUUAUUUCCUGAAGCUGUCAGGUAUGAACUAACUUUUGCUAGCUUCCAACUUUUCUUCCGAAACUUCCUCACCUCUUUCGGCCUUCACAGAAUUGAAGAGAGUUAGGGCUUUGCUGUGGAUUAGGAUUUGGCUUAAGAGAAUGUUGGGGCUGGUUUGAUCUAUCCAGAACUCCCAAACUUUCUCCAUAUCAGCAAUAAGACUGCUUUAGUUUGUUAUCAUUUGUGUGUUCACCAGAGUAGCACUUUUAAUUUCCUUCAAGAACUUAUCCUUUGAAUUUACAACUUCACUAACUGGUACAAGAGGCCUAGCUUAUGAACUAUCUCAAUUUUUUACAUGCUUUCCUCACUAAAAUUAAUCAUUUCUAGAUUUUCACUUAAAGUGAGAGACUCAUAACUCGUUCUUUCUCUUGGACACUUAGAGGCCAUUGUAGGGUCAUUAGUUGGCCUAAUUUCAAUAUUGUUGUGUCUCAGCAAAUAAGGAGGCCUGAGGAGAGGAAAAGAGAUCCAGAACCUGCCAGUCAGUGGAGUAGUCAGAACCACACAUUUGUCAAUUCAACUUGCCAUCUUACAUGGGUGAGGUUUGUGGUGCCCUGAAACAGUUACAACAGUAACAGCAAAGAUUACUAAUCACAGAUCACUACAACAUAUGUAACAAAAAGGAAAGUUUGAAACACUGCAAGAAUUACCAAAAUGUGAUACAAAAACAUGAAGUGGGCACAUGCUGUUGGAAAACUGGUGAUGACAGACUUACUCAAUGCAGGGUUGCUACAAACCUAAUGCAUAAUACAGUGAAGCACAAUAAAAUGACAUAAGCCUACAAUAAAAUUGUGCUGAAAUGACUGUACUUUCUAAUUACUUUUCAUGCAUUCACAUGUAUAUAUUGACAAAGCCUAUUUUUAAAAUUCAUUUUGGCUGUUUAUGGAAUAUGUGUUUCAUUUUAUAAAUUGAGAAAAAAUUUGACAUACUGUAUAUUAGGUUUCUAUGCUGUUUCCUGGAUACAAAAAUAUGAUUCCUUAAAGCAAAUCUAGCAAUAUUAAAAUAACAUACAUUACAGUGUUUACUUGAUUCUAUUGGAACAAGGAAAAUGAUAUUAAUUUUUAUAACCACCGAAUAUUAUACCAUAUUUCUAUACUCUUACUAUACCAUUAUUACUAUGUUAUUUUACCAUUAUUACAUUAUUAUCACUAUACAUAGGCCUAUUUAAAUAUAAUUAGGAGUAUACAUUACCUGAUGUUCUUAUUACUAUAUUGUUUUUGUUGCCACUAGGCAACUUGCACAUAUGUUUAGGAGCCACUUAAUAUGAAAGAUUUAACAUCACUGAGCCUAAUUUCCUCUGCUGUGUGGCUGGCUGGAGAAUAAAUAUAGCAAUAUCUUCAUGUGACUUUCUAAAAUAAGAAUGGAUAAUAUUUCCCCAAACACAUAACAUGAAACACGCUUCUAAUGAAUAAUCCUAUAUCUGCAUUUUACUUAUCACUAUUCUGCUAUUUUCUUAUUUGUUUGUUUAACAGAAUGUAAGUAAUGUCCAUGAAUAGGGAUCUUCCCUGUCUUGUUCAUUAUUACAUACUCCAUGUUCUAAAUAAUGUCAGAUGAAUCAUAAUUUAACAAAUGGGUAAAUCCUGUAUUUGAGCACCCAGCUUGAUGGAGAAGCUCUGGCCCCACAUAUAUAGCUACUAGUUGGAAGCACAGCAAUGAAUAUAAACUCAAAUGACCAAUAAGAGGAAUAAGUGAAGGUUCUCUUGCCCUAAAAUACAAAAACUUGAACUUUCCAAUUUUGGAAGUAGAUACUAAGAUAAAUGUGCAGGUUUUAUAUAAACCUAAACAAAUGACCAGCAUCAUUUAAUCUAGUUUUAUGCCACAAACAAUAACAAAAAGUUGACCGUAACUAUUUUCAACAGCAUGAUAAAAGCUAACACAAUAAUGAAGUACACUAAGGGUUUCUUAUCAUUGUUUCCACAUUUCUGCUUACUGCUUACAGCUAAAAUAAAUAGCUAUAAAUUUUGUAGCUAGCUCAUCUGUCAGUUUAGAUAUGCUCAAACCAUGCUUACAUAUAGAACAAGUGUUGAAUAAAAUUAUUGGGCUUCAAAAGCUUUAAGAAUAAACAUUUCAAUAUAUGCAGCCAUUUCUUACUUUAAUAAAAAGAAUUAAGCAUAAAAAGAAAUAAAAAACAUAAAAAGAGGUUUUAAAAUGAUCUUUCCUAAGUGUCAGAAGAGGGAAUAAGUCCAUGGAAUUGAUACAUAAAAUGAAGAAUCUUACUCUUUUUCUUCCUAGUGUCAUUCUUAGUAUAAUCAAAUCUAUCUAACUGUCCAUCACUUUAACAUCAUCAGGACUCAAUGGCUCAGUAUGCUCAGUGGAACUCUGGAACAGGAUUCCCACUUACCCGGCUAAUAAUAAUGCUAAUGAAACUAAAUCCAUAGCUUGUUUUCUAGUUUCUAUAACCAUCAGGUAUUUACCACUUCUUUGGUCCUGUGAAAACUAGGAAGAGCAGAAGCUGUCCCAAGGUCUCAAUAGAAUUUGGUUGUAGAGAAGCCAGGUUGCCUCAGAGCCCAGUCCCCGAAAAUUCCAUGAUGCAUUCUACUCAAAAGAAUCCUCAGACCUUGGAAAUCUCAAGAAAGCACUCAGCUUGGGGUCAAGAUAGAGUUUCUCAGUUUAUUUAUCAACUGAAAAUGACAAAAAGGAAGACAAUAAGAUUGAAAAAUGAGAAUUAGAAAAGAAAGUACAAAGUACCCACCAAAAUUUUUUUCAAGUGGUAUUAAAAAAAUAAAGAAAGUCAAUCAUGUUUCUCAGAGAAAAUACCUCUGAGGUGGAGGAAGGCCAUUAUGUUCUGCUUAACCCCAUGAUGCCUGCAAACUGAAGAUGUGAUGUUUCAAUUAAAGCUUCUGGUCUCACUACUACUUAGAGAUCAUUAGAAGCAGUUGUAGCAACCAGUACUGCCAAAGCAGUUCUUCCCACCCCACCUCAAAGUUGGUCAAAAAACACUGUGGACAGGAAGUUUGCUAUAAAUGUCACAAGUGCAACAGAAACCUGACUUCCGUUGUUACCUACAGCAGACCCCAGACACUGCCACUCAAAGGCCAGUCCACUUUUAACUCAGUAUUCCAGAGGCCAAACUACUUAUAAAGUCACAGCUGUCUCUUUGGGAUUUGGCAGUGAUACCAUGGCCCGGUCAUAUGGCACAAAGUUUCUACAGCACCUUUACUCAACUUCUGCCCC